GCGAAUCAUUUAUCUUUAACUGGAUCAAAGAUGUGAAUAUUUUGCAUAUACAAUCAUGUCCAGAAAAGACUUGCGACAAAAAGAUUUUGGUAUAUUUACCCAAACUCAGCAAUCAUGCAUACAGCAGGAAUAUGAAUUGUUUUCAGUUCAACAAUUCACUACAUUACAGAUUUGAAUUGCUUUAGUGUUUAACUUAUACCACUAUGCAUAUAUACAGCUAACACAACGUAUGAAUAUAUGCAGUUUUGGUACAUAUAUCUCUGAAGCAUCUAGUCGAACUGAACUGACAGCUAAUUGAUAUGGUACUGCUAUGUGAGGGCAAGGUUGCUGCAUAUCAUCAUCUUCGAAUUUGUGUAAUGGAUUUCAGCAUUCUUAAGUGUAAAUCCAUGAAGAAAUGGCAACGGUAACCCCUUCAGGAGGCGUGAGUUCACAUAUGGAAGGAAGACGGUUUUAAGAAUUGCAAAAGCUACUGGCCGAAGUAGACGCAUAUGCAGGUCCCCAAUAUUGCUCCACUUAUAAGAAACUGUAAAGCUUUUCAACUUGAGGAAACCAGCUAGCUUAUUCAUUAAAAUUUGUGGCGAACAUGAAGAUCUAAUUACCAAUGACACACAUGCAACUGGAAUAACUUCAUCAGCAUCCAAAACAUUAACUAUCACAUCUAGAUAUAUGGUUCCAUCAAGGUUGUUCUCUGCAAUUCUUAUCACUGGUGGGGAAGUUAGUGAUACAUUAAGAUUCAUGUCAUCGUUUGGAUACUUCUUGUAUAGUUGAGGAUAAACAAAUCUCCAUGUUGCAGUGUUUAAGAGGGAUUGAUUGGGAAAUCUAUCCACUAUCCAGUGCAUAUAACCUGCCUGACCACAGAAAUUAGCCAAAGAACUAUUAGCUUAACUGCUUAACCACAAAAACAUUAUAUGUCAUUCAAGUUUGCAUCUCCAUGAGUAAGCACAGCAGCCAAUGCAUAUGAGUUUGAACUAUGUCCCCUGAAAUAGAUAAUACUAAACAAUUACUGUCUACCUGUUUUUUUACAUUUAUUUUGAUAUAUCUUUUUACUACCUUUUUCAGAAACUUCUCAAAAAUAAAAAGGAUAAAAAAUGUGCUAGUGCUAUAAUCUCAAAGUUCAUGGUUUUUUUAUGCAAUAACUUACAUUGAAGUAUACUACCACAGCAGUAUUAAAUACAUUUUCAUGUAAUGAAAUUCCAACCAUCUUAGCUGCACAGUUUGAGGAAUCAGAAGCUUGCAAUCCUUCAUAGUAAUAGUUGGGAAUCAAAAUAUUGUCCUUCGCCAUGAAUAAACCAUUGAUAUCAAUUUCUACUGAAGAAUUACUCAACACAGGGUCGUCCACAAAAGUAACAUUCAUUGCAGAAACAUGAUCCACUGAGACUUGUUUUGGAAGUGAUUGCAAUCGGGAAUCAAGUUUUAAUAUCCCUUCUUUGAUUUUCUUGGAAAUAGCAUUUUCUACUGCAGACCCUAUAGGACCUUCAAAAGCAUCAACCACCCUUUGAUACAGCCAAGAUGCUCCACCAUCCAACUUAAUAGACAUAUCUUUCACAUAACAUCCACUGUCCAAGAGAGACAAACUGAGACUUCCAUCUUGUUCUUCUAAAGAAAAAGUAAGCCCAACUUCCAUAUCUU
rnacentral:misc_RNA from 1 species